GGAGUUGUGGCUCAGUGGUAAAGCACUUGCCUAGCAUGUGAGAGGCACUGGGUUUGAUUCUCAGCACCA
rnacentral:tRNA from 1 species